AGAGUUUGAUCCUGGCUCAGGACGAACGCUGGCGGCGUGCUUAACACAUGCAAGUCGAGCGAGGCUUCCUCCUUCGGGAGGAUGUCCUAGCGGCGAACGGGUGCGUAACGCGUAAACAACCUGCCCUCUACUGGGGGAUAGCCCGGCGAAAGCUGGGGUAAACCCGCAUAGUCUCGCUUUCUGGCAUCAGGAUGGUGAGUAAAGCAGCAAUGUGGUAGAGGAGGGGUUUGCGUCUGAUUAGCUAGUUGGGGAGGUAACGGCUCACCAAGGCGACGAUGGCUAGGGGAGCUGAGAGGCUGGUCCCCCACACGGGCACUGAGAUACGGGCCCGACUCCUACGGGAGGCAGCAGUAGGGAAUAUUGGGCAAUGGCCGAGAGGCUGACCCAGCCAUGCCGCGUGCAGGACGAAGGCUUUCUGAGUCGUAAACUGCUUUUGCCAGGGAAGAAAAAAGGGCAUGCGUGCUCUACUGACGGUACCUGGUGAAUAAGCACCGGCUAACUCCGUGCCAGCAGCCGCGGUAAUACGGAGGGUGCAAGCGUUGUCCGGAUUUAUUGGGUUUAAAGGGUGCGUAGGCGGCCGAUUAAGUCUGGGGUGAAAGCCCGUUGCUCAACAACGGAACUGCCCUGGAAACUGGUCGGCUUGAGUACAGACGAGGGUGGCGGAAUGGAUGCUGUAGCGGUGAAAUGCAUAGAUAGCAUCCAGAACCCCGAUUGCGAAGGCAGCUGCCCAGACUGUAACUGACGCUGAGGCACGAAAGCGUGGGGAGCGAACAGGAUUAGAUACCCUGGUAGUCCACGCCGUAAACGAUGGAUACUCGCUGGUGGCGAUAGACGGUCACUGGCUUAGCGAAAGCGUUAAGUAUCCCACCUGGGGAGUACGCUCGCAAGAGUGAAGCUCAAAAGAAUUGACGGGGGCCCGCACAAGUGGUGGAGCAUGUGGUUUAAUUCGAUGAUACGCGAGGAACCUUACCUAGGCUAGAAUGCGCGUGACCGCGCCAGAGAUGGCGCUUUCCUUCGGGACACAAAGCAAGGUGCUGCAUGGCCGUCGUCAGCUCGUGCCGUGAGGUGUUGGGUUAAGUCCCGCAACGAGCGCAACCCCUAUGGUUAGUUGCCAGCACGUAAUGGUGGGGACUCUAGCCAGACUGCCUGCGCAAGCAGUGAGGAAGGCGGGGACGACGUCAGGUCAUCAUGGCCCUUACGCCUAGGGCUACACACGUGCUACAAUGGACGGUACAGCGGGUUGCCAACCAGCGAUGGUGCGCCAAUCCCGAAAAGCCGUUCUCAGUUCGGAUCGGAGUCUGCAACUCGACUCCGUGAAGCUGGAAUCACUAGUAAUCGCGUAUCAGCAAUGACGCGGUGAAUACGUUCCCGGGCCUUGCACUCACCGCCCGUC
rnacentral:rRNA from 1 species